UCAUCAAACAUACAACACAUGGCGGUGUUUGCUGCAAUCAGGGGACAGCACCUUUGUGUGCCUGACCCCUGGCACUGCUGCAGGAGACGAGGGAAACUUCAGAGAUACCCUACGGGAUGCCGAAUUUGCAAGGCUCCCCAUUCAUUCUCUGGAGUUGGGAGCUCAGACGAAGAGCGAGGACAGAAGGUGAGAACAUUGGCUCUCCCGGCCAAGAACUGUCACCAUCUUUGUGAGUCGUAUGAGUUCCCCCAGAGCUAAGGGAACCUUAUUUUCUUAAGUUACUUUGGCUCUUUGACCAUUAAAUACCCACGUGGAUGCUGCCCGAGCUUUGUUGGCCAGAUCCCAUGGGGGGAGACCUCUUGCCAGCUGCCACUAGCAGAGCUCCUUGCCAUCAUCCGUCCUCCUACCCACGCUGGAAACUGAACAGAAUCAAGCCACUGGGUGUCAAAGUGAGCUACAGAAGAAUCUGUCCCUUCAAAGAAAUUUUCAUAAAGCAAAAUUCGUAUCCUCGCUAACAAAACACUUGUCAACAGUAAAUUAGUGUUUAUUUAUUUGUUGAAUGCACACAUCUUUUACUUUUUUUUUUUCUUCAUUACAGAAUCUUGGGCUAAACAAUUUAGAUCCUGCAUUAUCUCAAUGUCAAUAAGUAUGAUUUUUUUUUUGCUAAAGAAAAAGCGUGCCAUAUUGCAGACAACCUAAAGUCAUAACUCAAGACAACACAAUCAUGUCAUAAUAUAAUUUUAUACAAUGAGAUUGUAUCUGUUGUUAUUGAGGGUCAUUGAAUUCCGUCUGUCAGUGUUAUUUUAUUGAAUAGGUUCAAGUAAUAGUUUGUGCUGAUUAUCAGAAAGUAUGUUUAAAAACUGUCACUGUGUUUAUAUCCUUCAGGGUUGCAUUUAAAUUAUGUAGAUAAACAGGAUCAAGCAGUGUGUACUGCAAUGAAGUACAGUCCUUGAUAGAAAUUUCAGAAUAAAAUUUAUGUGAAAAUUUCUGGUAGAACUUUG
rnacentral:lncRNA from 1 species